UACGUAGGGUGCGAGCGUUGUCCGGAAUUACUGGGCGUAAAGAGCUCGUAGGUGGUUUGUCGCGUUGUUCGUGAAAACUCACAACUCAAUUGUGGGCGUGCGGGCGAUACGGGCAGACUGGAGUACUGCAGGGGAGACUGGAAUUCCUGGUGUAGCGGUGAAAUGCGCAGAUAUCAGGAGGAACACCGAUGGCGAAGGCAGGUCUCUGGGCCAUAACUGACGCUGAGAAGCGAAAGCAUGGGGAGCGAACAGGG
rnacentral:rRNA from 1 species